AGGUCGGGCCGGCGCGGUUGACCGCGUGUCGGUUGUGGCCCCGGCCUGGCCUGGAUGGGCGUCGGCCCCGGAAGAACCACCCCCUCACUCCCGGGAAUGCCCAGUCACCAUUUCCGAAGGACGGGCGUGCGGGGCCGCGGGGCACACUAGCCGGGGUCUCUGUCCCCUGGAAGGAGAGAAAGAGAUUUAACCGGGCGCCCCGCAAGUCACUGGCUGAAUCGGGCUCAAAUUGUGACUUUAGAGAAUGUGUGUUUCUUAAGCAACCUGGGGGUUCGAAGGACGUGGAAUUCAAAACAACUGACAUCCAGAGAUGCCGUGCGGUUCUGAACUCUCGGCCCGUUUCUCUACCCGUUGAUCUCUCCUUCCUCCCCCUCGCACGUGUGCGCUCUGGGCAGUUUCCGAAAUGAAGACACGAUGCUUGUCUUCACAUUUUAGUAAAAUUGAAUGUUUUCUGCCUCUCUGUGAUCUUUAUCACAAGAUCAGAUUUGUAUUUCUUGGAAGCAUGGGAGUUCCCUGCUGACCUAGUGGUUAGGAUUCCGAGCUUUCAAUGCCUUGGCCCGGCUUCAAUCCCUGAUCGGGGAACUGAGAUCCAGCGAGCCACACCGUGGGGCAAAAAAAAAAAAAAAAAAGUAUUUCUUGGAAACAGA